GCGGGGUGGGCGGGCGGGAGCGCGGCGCAGGCGCAGGCGCAGUCGAGGGGCCUGGCCGGCUCCCCCCCAACCCCGGAGUCCCGGGGCUCUGCUCUCCGCCGGGCUCCUGCUGCCGUCGCCGUCCGUCGCCUCUUCCUCCGUCUCCGUCCUGCUGCCUCGCAGGCCUGCUUUCCUCUUGCUCCUCCGGGGAUCUUGGCCUUGCUCCUCUUCUCUCCGGAGCGGGCAGUGACACCCCGACGCCUACCUCCCGCGUGUGUUUUGAGAAUCUGAAGCAGCCAGAGGGGCUCUUUGUACACCCCGAGCAGAGGCAACAGAGCACCAGCUUGAAGGUGGAAAGCCUGGGGCCUUAUGUGAAACUCAGCCAGCUGUGGAACCUCCCCGGACCUCCCCUGUAACACAGAGCCACUAACUGCCUCAGCUGGACCAUGGCUUUACCGGGAAGGUAAAAUGUGAUCAUGGUUGCGACAGCUUUUUGAUUAAUUUUAGUAACCAGCUAGCAUGUACUGAACUUUCAAGCUAAGGACCCAACAAGCAUCAACUCCGUGCUUUUAGAUGCGCAGAAGGAUGCGCAGAGCCACUCAGGGAUGGCCCGAGAACCCACCGCGCAGAAGCAGCAGGGCCCAGGCUUGCUCUUGGUUCUGCUUGAGUCAAGGCUGUUGACUCCCUUUCCAAGUGUUGGUGUCAGCCACGUGCACGCGGAGGUGAGCGUGUGGG
rnacentral:lncRNA from 1 species